AUUGAACGCUGGCGGCAGGCCUAACACAUGCAAGUCGAACGAGUGGCGGACGGGUGAGUAAUGUCUGGGACACUGCCUGAUGGAGGGGGAUAACUACUGGAAACGGUAGCUAAUACCGCAUACCAUCAGAUGUGCCAAGUUGGGAUUAGAUAGUUGGUGGGGUAACGGCUCACCAGGGCGACGAUCCCUAGCUGGUCUGAGCGGAAGACCAGCAACACUGGAACUGAGACACGGCCCAGACUCCGACGGGAGGCAGCAGUGGUGAAUAGUGCACAAUGGUCGCAAGCCUGAUGCAGCCAUGCCGCGUGUAUGAAGAAGGCCUUCGGGUUGUAAAGUACUUUCAGCGGGGAGGCGUUACCCGCAGAAGAAGCACCGGCUAACUCCGUGCCAGCAGCCGCGGUAAUUC
rnacentral:rRNA from 1 species